GUUAGCCUGCAUCGACGAGGAAUACUUGAGGACGCCAGGGGUGAAGAAGGGUGUAGCCUUUGGGAGCCUUGCCGCCAGAUCCGCCGUAUCCAGCGGCCCCGCGCGUCCCCGACAUCCCUCUUGUCGUGGUCUAGGGUGCUGCGAUGUCGUCUUGCCGUGGUCUCCAUUCGGCAUCAGCAUCUACAGUGUGCACUCUUGCAGGUGGAUGCACAUCUUGAUGGAAACUAGAAAAGAACAUGAGAAGAUUAUGCCAGUGGUGGUGGUGCCACUGGAAUGCCAUCCUCGACAUGUCCUUCGUCAACGUUCGUCGCCGGCGGCCAACACAAAGGGUCAACCCAGGACGACCACACCACAAUUGAUGACAGGCUUCGGUGGCAGGCGAUGCGAUGCCCUCUGGAUUGUGCUUUUUUUUUUUUGGUACCGAGUGUAUAUGUGUUUGUAACGAUGAUGGCACGAUCAAUUGUAAAAACAAAGUCCAUUAUACCCGUAUUCGUGCAGUAAAAUAUUUACUACCUUAUAUAUCAGGCCCAAUCAACUACUAAGUAACUUUUUUACUCCCUCCAUGAUUGGAUAAUCCCAAUACAUAUCAGUAAUUUUUUUAUUCCAUGAAUAUGUUGC
rnacentral:lncRNA from 1 species